UGUUUUGAUUCUACUGAAUCUCAGAGCUGCAUUCAACUUCGUUGAUAAUUUCCUGAUUGAUAGACUGAAAAUGCGAGUGAGGUUGUCAGAGAGACCCACCCCCAGCAAUGACCUCAGCGCCAGGCACCUCCGAGGGCCCUUGAAGUGGUCCCUGUUCUGGAAGAUAAAUGAAGUGUCUAAGGACCUGCUGUCUGCAGAAAGCUUAUUGGAGUACUUCUGAACGCUGAUAGCUUUGCUGCGUGGUGUAUGUGCUGAAGACAGAAGCCCAGAGGGUCCAAACUUUGUGUGAGGAGAAGAGGCUGAACUACACAGUGCUUAUUAUUCCUGACAGAAGCCACACUGGGGCUGUGAAUACAGUCACAGCUACCGAGAAUAAUA